rnacentral:misc_RNA from 1 species
GAUGAAGAACGUAGUGAAAUGCGAUACGUAAUGUGAAUUGCAGAAUUCAGUGAAUCAUCGAGUCUUUGAACGCACAUUGCGCCCCCUGGUAUUCCGGGGGGCAUGCCUGUCCGAGCGUCAUUGCUGCCCUCAAGCACGGCUUGUGUGUUGGGCCUCCGUCCUCCUCCCGGGGGACGGGCCCGAAAGGCAGCGGCGGCACCGCGUCCGGUCCUCGAGCGUAUGGGGCUUCGUCACCCGCUCUUGUAGGCCCGGCCGGCGCUUGCCGACACAUCAAUCUUUUUUCCAGGUUGACCUCGGAUCAGGUAGGGAUACCCGCUGAACUUAAGCAUAUCAUAAGCGGAGGA